GCGGAGGUCAUUGUCGAAUGUUCGAAAAAACACGACCCUGUGCACGUAACCUAAUCUAUCGCUGCCGGGGGGGCGCCGCCGCCCCGGCCCGCCGGCCACGGUCCUUGGGCCGUGCGUCGGAAAUACGGCGCGGUUUGCGCCAAGGAACACGAGAUGCUGAGGCGGCCGGCGGAGCGCUCCGGUGCACCGCCUGCCGUCGAUGCAAAGUAACACAUGAUGACUCUCGGCAACGGAUAUCUCGGCUCUCGCAUCGAUGAAGAACGUAGCGAAAUGCGAUACGUGGUGUGAAUUGCAGAAUCCCGCGAACCAUCGAGUCUUUGAACGCAAGUUGCGCCCGAGGGAUCUGCCCAAGGGCACGCCUGCCUGGGCGUUAGAAGCCCAUCCACGCUCGGUGCUUACUCUGCCCGAUGCGGAUCGUGGCCCUCCGAGCCCAAAGGCGCGGUGGGCCUAAGUGCGAGGCCGCCGGGAGGAGCCGGGAGCGGCGAGUGGUGGAAUGCUGCGUGUGCCGCCCCGUGCCCCUUCCUGGAACAUGGCUUUGAAGGACCCUCGAACGAGGAGCCGUGCUGUGGUGAUCACCGCAGCACGGCGCUUUCGGAUCGAUACCCCAGGUCAGGCGGGGCUACCCGCCCGAAAACACAAACCCAC
rnacentral:rRNA from 1 species